CGUUGGUGCACGGAGUUCUUACUGACCUACAGCAGAAUGGCCGCUCGGUCGGUCGCCACCUUAAGGUGACUCUUACAGUCAUAAACAAGAGAAGAUAGGACCCGCUAGCCUUAUAAGGAAAUUCCCGUCUCCUGGCCAAUCAAGCUGUUUCCUGGUCACGUCUUCCACUGGCUCUUGCUCAAAUAUCCCGCUGCAAGCGCUCCACUGCUGAAUAGGAAGUUUUCAGACACAGAAAGAUUCAUUAUUGUCCGAGGCUACAUGGAAAGGGAGAAUGGAGAAUGAUCCUAAGAGUUCAAACUUUCUUUUGAAGAUGAUGAAAAUAUUCUACAAGAAGAAUAUGGUGAUACUGCACAACCCUCUAAAAGGACCUCGAAGGAAACAAGAAACUCUUGUACUCCAAUAACCUAUACUGGAUGUUUAUGGCAGCUUUAUUUACAGUUACUCUCAAUUGGAAA